rnacentral:lncRNA from 1 species
AACUACCUCGCAAGACAUCAGCCCUGCUCACAGGCAAGGGGAGUCAGAGGCUCUGGCUCUUGGGUAUUUGCCUUUCUGAUCCACUCAUCUUUUAGUUUGAUGCAACUUCUUUGAUGCAGUUUUACUGAGGUAAAAUUUUUAAUUCCAUUUUUGCCACCCGCUUCCACACCUUUGAAUGGCAGAGCACUUUAGCAAGCUAAAGAAAUGCCUGAGGCUAUCUUGCUCCCUGUAAGACUGAUACUAUCUGCAGGUUCUAAUCUGUUCAAAUACACAGACUCCUG